rnacentral:rRNA from 1 species
CCGUAGCCCAAGAGAUCGGGAUAGCACCUGGAAACAGAUGCUAAUACCGGAUAACAACAGAUGAUGCCUAUCAACUGUUUAAAAGAUGGUUCUGCUAUCACUCUUGGAUGGACCUGCGGUGCAUUAGCUAGUUGGUAGGGUAACGGCCUACCAAGGCGAUGAUGCAUAGCCGAGUUGAGAGACUGAUCGGCCACAUUGGGACUGAGACACGGCCCAAACUCCUACGGGAGGCAGCAGCC